rnacentral:rRNA from 1 species
AGGAUGAACGCUGGCGGCGUGCUUAACACAUGCAAGUCGAACGAUGAAGCAGAGCUUGCUCUGUGGAUUAGUGGCGAACGGGUGAGUAACACGUGAGUAACCUGCCCUUGACUCUGGAAUAAGCGUUGGAAACGACGUCUAAUACCGGAUACGAGCUUCAGCCGCAUGGCUAGGAGCUGGAAAGAAUUUCGGUCAAGGAUGGACUCGCGGCCUAUCAGGUAGUUGGUGAGGUAAUGGCUCACCAAGCCUACGACGGGUAGCCGGCCUGAGAGGGUGACCGGCCACACUGGAACUGAGACACGGUCCAGACUCCUACGGGAGGCAGCAGUGGGGAAUAUUGCACAAUGGGCGCAAGCCUGAUGCAGCAACGCCGCGUGAGGGACGACGGCCUUCGGGUUGUAAACCUCUUUUAGUAGGGAAGAAGCGAAAGUGACGGUACCUGCAGAAAAAGCACCGGCUAACUACGUGCCAGC